CGUUUGCUCUUCAGAUCUCUGAAAAAUGUCACUGCCAUCUGGAGAAGUUUGAACAGUUUCCUUUCUGUAUCUGUUAUGAAGGCAUUAGUACAACGCACAGUGCUUCCAUUAUUCAUGUUAAAAAAAAACAACAAGGUUUUGGUUGCCUGGGUUCAGUAAUAAAUAUGUGAGACCUUUUACUUC